rnacentral:lncRNA from 1 species
AGUCUUACUUCCGGGACACUACAGAGCCAAGAGCCUGGGUGACUCCUGCCUGCCCACACAAUUCCUCUCGCAGGUGGCUCUCUGUUGCCGGCUUCCAUAGGCUAGCCCCCACUCCACCCCAGACUCUAGACCGGACCGCUCCAGAUUUAGCAGUUGAGGCCCUUUAAAAGCCUCACAGCUGCCUCGCUGCGGGCAGCCUUCCUGGGAAAUGUAGUCUCCUGAGUGAAGCUUCGCAGCUUCCCCGGGCUGUUUUGCUACUGGCCAAAAAGGGGCUUUGCUACCACCUUGGAUUACUGUGACAGAGAAACGAAACCUUGUGUGAAAAACGUAUCCAUCGCAUCAGAGUGGGAACCAGGAUCUUAUCCGGCUUACAAUGCUCUUGACUGUAACAUCUGCAAGGGACACACGGGAGCCCUGAAAGGCCUGGUGUCUCUACAGGGAGGAUGACUCUUCAGCCACUGUCCUUUGCUUCUGUCUCCCGGUAAGACCCCUGGCUCAUUCUGAGUUCAAGACUCCUAUUGUGUUUAGUAUGUGUCAGGCACUGAGUGUAAAGCCAGGAGCAGAAAAGAGAUGCCUGCCUGUGUAGGGAUGAAACUUCAGUGGAAAAUAGAAGGAAAAAAGAAGAAAAUGAACAGUAACCAUUAUAUUCGGUGGGCAUAGUGAUGCCCACCUGUAAUCCCAGCACAGGGGAGGUUGAGGCAGGAAGACUGGAGAGUUUGAGAUCAGCCUGGGCUACCUAGAUCCUGCUUUCAAAAAAGAAAAGAGAAUGUAUUUGUUGGAAAGGGAUGAUUACAGACAGACAAGUCGAGGUCCUCAGAGAGACUGAAGCUCCAGUCAGAACCUACAUGGGGGCAGGAGAGAUGGCUCAGAGGCUAAGAGCUGCUCUUCCAGAGGCCGUGGAUUCAAUUCCCAGCACCCACGUGGUGGCUCCGGACCAUCUAUAUCUCCAGUUCUAGGGAAUCUGACCCCCUCUUCAGGCCUCCACCUUUACAUAUGUGCACAUAUGUGGUGUGCAGACAUACAUGCAUGAAAAACUCUCAGACACACAAAAUUAAAAUUGUAUUUUCACAAAAGUAGACCAAAAGAGAGACCUGGAGAGCUGGCUCCGUGGCUAAGAGCACUUGCUACUGUCCCAGAAGAUCUAAGUUUCAUUCCCAGCACCCACGACAUCAGGCUCACAGCCUGUUACUCCACUUCCAGGGGAUUCCAUGCCCAUUUCUGGUACCUCUACGGACACCCUCAUACACACACAGACAUACAA